CCAUAAAAUUUGAUAAAAUGUUGAAAAUAUUGAAGUUGAAACAAAAUGUUGCAUCUAUAAAGCAUAGAGUGAGAACGACGGAGAUGGCAAUAAAAAUACAAUUUCGAUGAAUGGAGCAAACAUUGAUUUUGUCUAUAUAUGUGCG
ensembl:ncRNA B0496.14 ncRNA